GGCGGCCAUGACACUUUGGCAGUUAGGAGGGGGUACGAUUACGGUUUAUCCCAAUAGAUGGUGCCGCGAUAACUAAAGUCAGCGUCCAUUUUGUUCCUCUAAAUUCAGUCUACCAGUGUUGCAAUAUCUCAUAGACAGUGAUAUAGUGGCAAUAAGUGUAUUUACACCUACAGUUUAGUGUUUCCGUGAAGAAUAUUAAUAUUUUUACCGUAUAGGAAAUCUAUAAAAUAUUCGAGAUGUCUGGAAACUGGAAAUAUAUGUGCGUAUUUUAAGUAUGGUUUAUCACCUUAUAAAAGUCCUGGAUUAAGACUCUUCAGAUUUCCAAUAAAAAAUCUUUUGACUUGUAAAAAAUGGAUAGUACACUCUGGGAAUGCCGCAUUGGGAAUUCUCGAGUUUAGCGAGCGGAUUUAAAAAAAAAUAUAUACAGUAAGCAUUUUGAUGAAAUUUUUUUAAACACGAAAUAUUUAUCCGCUACUGCUGUACCAAAAAAAUACAGUGAGGAAGAAGAGGAAGCUUUGUUACCGACACCACGUGUUUUACAUACGUAUUCGAGAACAAAACAACCAUCAACCAGUGACGAUAUAGUUUCUAACAGUGAUAAUUCUGAACUUAACGAUUUUGUCGCUAUCACCAUUGGUCAAGAAAAAAAAUUUAUAAUUAUCAUACACUUGAAAGGAAAUUGUCUGCAUCUCGAAAACGGAUUAUUCUUCUGGAAACUCGUAUAACAGUACUAAAAAGGAGUCCGGUUAAGAUUGGACAAAAUCUGUACAAACUGCACCAAAGCCACAAAAUCAGUUUUCCGCUGCGUUGCUGAAAAUGCAGUUGCAUAAGAAAAACGAAAGUGGUCACCAAUAGAAAAAACUGCUAUUGAAAUUUUUUAUAAAGGACCUAGCACGUAUAAAUUUCUGCGUCGAAAAGGAGUUGCAUUACCAGCGGGUCCAACACUAAAAACAUGGAUUGCAAACUUUACCUGUAACACCGGUUUCAAUAAAAACAUAUUUUAUAUUAUAAAAAAUAAAGCAGUAAGCAUGUCUCCUACAGAGAAAAAAUCAAUUUUAAUAUUCGAUGAGAUGGCCAUUAAGAGUACAAUAGAAAACUUGAUAUUAUUGAAGGCUUUGAGAAGAGAAUACUAUUUUUUUGCAAUACUUUGUAAUUUAAAAUUAUUUCAUUAAUAUUAAUAUUCCUCAUUAUUCCUUUUCAUAAGGGUGGUGAAAAAUCUAAUUUUAAUUUAAAUUUACUAAUUUAAAAAUCGAUGAAAAAUUUUUUUUUUGUGCCGAUGAUACCAGUAUCCCUUGGAGCAACUAAAGUAUUGCAACUCUUCAUGCAACUAGGUAUAACUUCUGACCUACUUACGAGAAAAACCUAGGCUGACUCUAAUUUACUACCUUUUAACGUGCAGAAGACAGUAGCAUUAUCCUAUAAAGGCUCUUCAAUCCUUGCUUCUUAAUAACAGCCCGAACAGUACCGUCGAUUUUGAAAAAUUUCUUGCUAUCUUUUAGACAGAAACCUCAAAUGGUCCCUUCAUUUGGAUUUGUUAAAUGAGAAACUCGUCUCAGCGUUCUAUUCAAUAAGACCUGUUUCAGAAGAUCAUUGCAGAAGUUACUUAAAAGAUCACGGAUCACCAGAAAUUCAACAUUCGAUGUCUAUUUGCCGAUCCCGUCCACUGAGUUAGUAAACCAGUCCAUAUUAUAUUCCGCAAAAAAACUGUGCAAUCAUCUCCCUUUACAACUUAAAUCUGCAACAUAUUUUCACAAGUUCCGUAAAAUUACAAAAUAUUAUCUAUAUAAAAGACGUAGAAGCAGUAGGUAUAUCUUAAUGAAUAAAAAUAAGAAAUUACAGUAUCUUCUAUGCACAAGUAACUAAAGUAUUUUUAUCAUUAUUUGGGUGUUCGACCCAAAUCUAUGAUAUUAUAUUUGGGUGUCAUACGUAGCAGCCUUAACUUAUUAGUUCCUAAGUUUGUAUUUUGUUUGUUGUAUGUUCAAUUUGCAAUUUAUAUAAGUUUUACAUUAUAUUUUUUAAUGUUUUACUUUCAUUAUCUUUUAUUUUGUAAUAUUGACUAUAUAUCUAGUUUUAAUAAACUGUAUUUAUUUUGACUAUAAAAUUGUUUAACUUUCAGUGACAAUAAAGAAUAUUUCUAAUAAACAUAUUAGAUCGGACGAAUUGAUUGAAAAAAACCAUUUUCACUUAUGUAAACAAUGGUUUGUGUACUUAUAUAAAAUAAAUAGUAUUAUUUAUUU
rnacentral:lncRNA from 1 species